UGUAAAUGUGGUCUAAAGUCCCCUAAAAUUUUCCGCUCAGAUUUUCCCCUAAAAUUUGGCCGAAUUAUUAUGCCCUAAAAUAUCCCACUCUUUUCAGCUUUUACCAACUCUACAAUAGAAUCCCAUCCUUCAUCUUCUCUAAAAUUUGGCUCUUCUUCUAACUAGGAAGCAAAUUAGUGUGGGUUUUAUGGAAAUCUCUGAUGGAUGCGCUAUAUCUCUUCUAGUUUCUCUUCUAAAAAGUCAAAGCACUCUUUUCAUCUGGGUUCUUCGACUAUCAGUUGCAAUUGAGAAUUUUGAGUUUUGGGCUUACAAUCAUUGUUGAUCUCCAUUUUUCGAAAGCUUGUCAUUUUUGGACCCUUUUGAUGGUAGACGCAACAGUGAUCCUCAAUGUGGAGUUGUUUGCCUUCAAUCUCUCAUCGCUAAAGCUGAUGGUGGAGCCGUCGUGACCUCUGUCUAUUUCUUCCCUUUUCUCACUUCUCUUGAUGGCCCUCCCAAUGAUGACGCCCUUCUUUCCCUCAUCGCUCGAUCGUUGUUGGUUCUACAUCCGCAUAAAAAAGAAAUGGAUAUUGGUAAAAUUUAACUGAGAGCACAAAGCAGAGAAAUGCACUACGUUAGGAAAUUCUGGUGAGCAAUUGGAAAUGGUGGCCAAAAGAUAAUUUGAUGAAGACUUUGGACAAUUAUGAUUUUUUUUAUUCCUGAUACUAUAGUGAUACAUUUGGUUUUGUAAAGUUUAUUUCUUGUAUGCACCUUGAAAUAUUAGCAUCUUUUGUUGAUGUACUACAUGAGAUUUAUUCCCAUUUUGAAGUUCAUUGCAAGUACGUGCAUUUGAAAUA